rnacentral:rRNA from 1 species
AUUGAACGCUGGCGGAAUGCUUUACACAUGCAAGUCGAACGGCAGCACGGACUUCGGUCUGGUGGCGAGUGGCGAACGGGUGAGUAAUGUAUCGGAACGUGCCCAGUCGUGGGGGAUAACGUAGUGAAAAUUACGCUAAUACCGCAUACGAUCUAUGGAUGAAAGCGGGGGAUCGCAAGACCUCGCGCGAUUGGAGCGGCCGAUAUCAGAUUAGGUAGUUGGUGGGGUAAAGGCCCACCAAGCCAACGAUCUGUAGCUGGUCUGAGAGGACGGCCAGCCACACUGGAACUGGGACACGGUCCAGACUCCUACGGGAGGCAGCCGUGGGGAAUUUUGGACAAUGGGCGAAAGCCUGAUCCAGCCAUUCCGCGUGCAGGAUGAAGGCCCUCGGGUUGUAAACUGCUUUUGUACAGAACGAAAAGGUUUCUACUAAUACUAGGAGCUCAUGACGGUACUGUAAGAAUAAGCACCGGCUAACUACGUGCCAGCAGCCGCUGUAA